GAGAGAGGAUGUGUGCUGCAGGCGCCUGCCUGGGAACUGCCAGAGCACCAGACCAAAUAGGCCAGGUGUGCUGAGACCCAGCUGAAUACCCAGCUGUCUGCAGAAGCCCAUGAGGGGAAGGAGUCAUCGGGAACUUCACCAGCCAACUAUCCCAGAGGACCUGUGGACUACAGCCCAGGAAGACAGGGAAAAGAGCCAGCAGCAUCACCAUCAAGCAAUGCUGUGAUGUGAAGCCAUAAACAUUCUGUGACGGCACAAGCUGCUAUCUCUGCGGCCUGGAGGGGUGCCCCUCCACACACACUAAGUGACUAACCCUGAGGAGGAGGAGAAAGGAUUCAGGAGUAUAUGUUCAGUGAGAUGCUGCAACAGACCAUGAACAGAGGUCCUGGAGAGUGAAUACUGAAGAUAGUAUGGAGAAGGAAAGAGUGGACAGGAGAAAGGCCCAGGAGUCCCCUCAGGAAGAGGAAAGGGGCAUGCACCAGAACAUAAUGGGGCUUUUCUGGCACAAACACAAAUGCUGAAGGCUCUUGUGGAGCUACAGGUUCAACAAGCACAGGCUCACCUCCCUUUGCAGUCAAUGGAGAACUCCAUUUUAGCACCACACCUCACCUCACCACAUUCCACGUGGCAUCAAAGGCACAUCCCUACCCCUACCAUUCCAAGCCAGGGGACAGUAAGGACA